UGCAGUCGAGCGGACCCGAGGUGCUUGCACCUCAAUGGGUCAGCGGCGGACGGGUGAGUAACACGUGGGCAACCUGCCCAACAGACUGGGAUAACUCCGGGAAACCGGAGCUAAUACCGGAUAGGUUCUUUUUGUCACCUGGCAGAAAGAGGAAAGGCGGUUUCGGCCGUCACUGUUGGAGGGGCCCGCGGCGCAUUAGCUAGUUGGUGAGGUAAGGGCUCACCAAGGCGACGAUGCGUAGCCGACCUGAGAGGGUGAUCGGCCACACUGGAACUGAGACACGGUCCAGACUCCUACGGGAGGCAGCAGUAGGGAAUCAUCCGCAAUGGGCGAAAGCCUGACGGUGCAAUGCCGCGUGAGUGAAGAAGGUUUUCGGAUCGUAAAGCUCUGUUGUGAGGGAAGAACAGUUCGAGGAGGCAAUGCCUCGGAUGUGACGGUACCUCACCAGAAAGCCACGGCUAACUACGUGCCAGCAGCCGCGGUAAUACGUAGGUGGCGAGCGUUGUCCGGAAUUAUUGGGCGUAAAGGGCACGCAGGCGGUUCAUUAAGUCUGAUGUGAAAGGCUGUGGCUCAACCACAGAAUGGCAUUGGAAACUGUUGAACUUGAGUGCAGAAGAGGAGAGUGGAAUUCCACGUGUAGCGGUGAAAUGCGUAGAUAUGUGGAGGAACACCAGUGGCGAAGGCGACUCUCUGGUCUGUAACUGACGCUGAGGUGCGAAAGCGUGGGGAGCGAACAGGAUUAGAUACCCUGGUAGUCCACGCCGUAAACGUUGAGUGCUAGGUGUUAGGGGUUUCGAUACCCGUAGUGCCGAAGCAAACGCAU
rnacentral:rRNA from 1 species